rnacentral:rRNA from 1 species
UUAAAUUGAAGAGUUUGAUCAUGGCUCAGAUUGAACGCUGGCGGCAGGCCUAACACAUGCAAGUCGAACGGUAACAGGAAGCAGCUUGCUGUUUCGCU